rnacentral:misc_RNA from 1 species
GAAGUGCGAUAAGUAAUGUGAAGUGCAGAGCAUGUGAGUCAUCGAAACCUUGAACGCAGAACAUCCUGGGGUCUCCCCAGGAUUCACCUAGUUGAGUAUCGAUUAAAAACUAUAACACUCUCCCUGCGGGGAGGUUCUGAGAGUGCGCUUUUUAGGAAGUGCUCUCUUUAAAUUCAUUUGGAAGUAGGAUUCUUUGUAUUAGUCUACUGUUCUAUAUGGACUUUGUGAUUAGUUAUGAGUCUUCUAUGUAACAAAACGCAAAAAAAGUAGGGAGAAAGUCCCUAUCAACCCAAUUGGAUCUCAACUAGGUGCGAUUACCCGCUGAAUUUAA